rnacentral:rRNA from 1 species
UACGGGGGGAGCAAGCGUUGUUCGGAUUUACUGGGCGUAAAGGGCGCGUAGGCGGUCAGCACAAGUCAGUUGUGAAAUCUCCGGGCUUAACUCGGAAAGGUCAACUGAUACUGUGCGACUAGAGUGCGGAAGGGGCAACUGGAAUUCUCGGUGUAGCGGUGAAAUGCGUAGAUAUCGAGAGGAACACCUGCGGCGAAGGCGGGUUGCUGGGCAGUGACUGACGCUGAGACGCGAAAGCGUGGGGAGCAAACAGG